AAAGUGGUAAAGCAGAGACUUUAUUAGUAAAAUUAUAGAAUUAGAAGGGAUUUUAGGAUUAGCUAUGACAAAACCCUCACUAUUGUGAUGGUGAUGUGAGAAGGAAAGGAAAAGAAAACUAACAUUUAUUAUAUGAUGAUUAUGUGUCAGACAUGUAUAUCGUGCGUUAUUUACUCCUCCCAGAAACUCAAUGUAGGAAAACAUGGGAAUCUAUCAACUAUCUAUCUAUCUAUCAUCUAUUUAUCUAUCUAUCUAUCAUCUAUCUUCUAUUUAAAUUGAGUACAAGGGAGGCUGUGCUGAGGCUUUUAAAAGUAAUGUGAAUUCUUAGAAAAUCCCUGUGAGAUAGACAAUAUAUUUUUUAUUUCAGAGAAGAGGAAAGAGAACUGAAGACAUUAAAUGGCAUUGCUGGGAAGUGAUUCAGUUGGUAUUUGAACUGGUUUGUACAUAAUUGAAGCCCUUGCUCUUUCCUAAUCCUCAUAUUUCAGCUACAGACAUGAAGGUGUAGAUGGAGGGUGUGUUUCAAUCAAACUUUUGGGGCCUUGGCUCAGUUGUCUUUCUUCUAUUUCAUACUGAACAUCCCUGCAACUAGGGACAAGGAGGAAGGAGGCAUCAUCUGACCAAGAGCACUGGCCCCUGUUAAAUUCUUUUUCCCAGAUUGCAUGCCCUCGAUCAGCAACUUUAAUUCCAAAUUUUCUGUGGGAAUAAAUUCCAGAGAUCGACACAUAUACUUUCCAUUUAAGGUGUUUCCAAAGUUGCCGAUUUAGGCCACUUGAAGUAUUCUUUUGUUUGCUUAUGCAAUUUUAAUUUAUUAUUUUCUAAAGAGUUCGUAUUAUCAGAAAUAUGUUUCCAGCCUCCUACUUUGUGUUUGAUGCCUCUCUUCUCCCUGGUAUCUACCUUGGAUCUUUCAGGCUGGAGUUAGAACAAUUUACUCCUUCUUCACAGCUCUUUUAUAGAUGGGGAAAGGGUGCGUGAAGCAGGGAGGAGAUAUGUGGGCUUCUCCACCCUGCAUUUGAGCAAUCCAGUGCUUAGAUGACACCUGUACUUUGGUGGUGGUGAAAGCCAAAAGACUUCAUGGCACUGUGUG
rnacentral:lncRNA from 1 species